CAGGUCAUAUAUGUCACCUCUGGUUUGGUUGGCUUAUAUGGCAGUGGUGUUGCAGCCAAGGUUUCUGGAUCAUCCACUGGCAUCAUUUGAAAUUCAAACCUUGUCCUUGCAUGUAGACAGGCUACUAU